rnacentral:rRNA from 1 species
ACGAACUUCCGUUAAUUGAUUAUGACGUGCUUGCACUGAAUGAGAUUUUAACACGAAGUGAGUGGCGGACGGGUGAGUAACACGUGGGUAACCUGCCCAGAAGCAGGGGAUAACACCUGGAAACAGAUGCUAAUACCGUAUAACAGAGAAAACCGCCUGGUUUUCUUUUAAAAGAUGGCUCUGCUAUCACUUCUGGAUGGACCCGCGGCGCAUUAGCUAGUUGGUGAGGUAACGGCUCACCAAGGCGAUGAUGCGUAGCCGACCUGAGAGGGUAAUCGGCCACAUUGGGACUGAGACACGGCCCAGACUCCUACGGGAGGCAGCAGUAGGGAAUCUUCCACAAUGGACGCAAGUCUGAUGGAGCAACGCCGCGUGAGUGAAGAAGGGUUUCGGCUCGUAAAGCUCUGUUGUUAAAGAAGAACGUGGGUGAGAGUAACUGUUCACCCAGUGACGGUAUUUAACCAGAAAGCCACGGCUAACUACGUGCCAGCAGCCGCGGUAAUACGUAGGUGGCAAGCGUUAUCCGGAUUUAUUGGGCGUAAAGCGAGCGCAGGCGGUCUUUUAAGUCUAAUGUGAAAGCCUUCGGCUCAACCGAAGAAGUGCAUUGGAAACUGGGAGACUUGAGUGCAGAAGAGGACAGUGGAACUCCAUGUGUAGCGGUGAAAUGCGUAGAUAUAUGGAAGAACACCAGUGGCGAAGGCGGCUGUCUGGUCUGUAACUGACGCUGAGGCUCGAAAGCAUGGGUAGCGAACAGGAUUAGAUACCCUGGUAGUCCAUGCCGUAAACGAUGAUUACUAAGUGUUGGAGGGUUUCCGCCCUUCAGUGCUGCAGCUAACGCAUUAAGUAAUCCGCCUGGGGAGUACGACCGCAAGGUUGAAACUCAAAAGAAUUGACGGGGGCCCGCACAAGCGGUGGAGCAUGUGGUUUAAUUCGAAGCUACGCGAAGAACCUUACCAGGUCUUGACAUCUUCUGCCAACCUAAGAGAUUAGGCGUUCCCUUCGGGGACAGAAUGACAGGUGGUGCAUGGUUGUCGUCAGCUCGUGUCGUGAGAUGUUGGGUUAAGUCCCGCAACGAGCGCAACCCUUAUUACUAGUUGCCAGCAUUCAGUUGGGCACUCUAGUGAGACUGCCGGUGACAAACCGGAGGAAGGUGGGGACGACGUCAAAUCAUCAUGCCCCUUAUGACCUGGGCUACACACGUGCUACAAUGGAUGGUACAACGAGUCGCGAAACCGCGAGGUUUAGCUAAUCUCUUAAAACCAUUCUCAGUUCGGACUGUAGGCUGCAACUCGCCUACACGAAGUCGGAAUCGCUAGUAAUCGCGGAUCAGCAUGCCGCGGUGAAUACGUUCCCGGGCCUUGUACACACCGCCCGUCACACCAUGAGAGUUUGUAACACCCAAAGCCGGUGGGGUA